rnacentral:rRNA from 1 species
GACGAACGCUGGCGGCGUGCUUAACACAUGCAAGUCGAACGGAAAGGCCCUGCUUUUGUGGGGUGCUCGAGUGGCGAACGGGUGAGUAACACGUGAGUAACCUGCCCUUGACUUUGGGAUAACUUCAGGAAACUGGGGCUAAUACCGGAUAGGAGCUCCUGCUGCAUGGUGGGGGUUGGAAAGUUUCGGCGGUUGGGGAUGGACUCGCGGCUUAUCAGCUUGUUGGUGGGGUAGUGGCGUACCAAGGCUUUGACGGGUAGCCGGCCUGAGAGGGUGACCGGCCACAUUAGGACUGAGAUACGGCCCAGACUCCUACGGGAGGCAGCAGUGGGGAAUAUUGCACAGUGGGCGGAAGCCUGAUGCAGCAACGCCGCGUGCGGGAUGACGGCCUUCGGGUUGUAAACCGCUUUCGCCUGUGACGAGGCGUGAGUGACGGUAAUGGGUAAAGAAGCACCGGCUAACUACGUG